UGCAUGCACGAUUCCGUGGGCUUCACACCCGUGGAAAUGGAAAGUGCGAGGCGAAGAGUGAAUUAUCGGGGCGUUUCAAGAGGGUCGUGCUGCUGAGCGCUGAUUCACUUCCCAAAAUGACAAAACGCUGUUUCUGUGCUUUAAUCAUUCAUACCGUCUCAUAUCAUCUCAGAAUUCUGUGGAACUGGAGCUAAUCCUGUGGUUAUGACUGGUGGUUCUUCCAUUAAACUGGUAUGAAACCUGAAAA